rnacentral:rRNA from 1 species
GAUGAACGCUGGCGGCGUGCCUAAUACAUGCAAGUCGAGCGAACAGACGAGGAGCUUGCUCCUCUGACGUUAGCGGCGGACGGGUGAGUAACACGUGGAUAACCUACCUAUAAGACUGGGAUAACUUCGGGAAACCGGAGCUAAUACCGGAUAAUAUAUUGAUCCGCAUGGUUCAAUAGUGAAAGACGGUUUUGCUGUCACUUAUAGAUGGAUCCGCGCCGCAUUAGCUAGUUGGUAAGGUAACGGCUUACCAAGGCAACGAUGCGUAGCCGACCUGAGAGGGGGAUCGGCCACACUGGAAGUGAGACACGGUCCAGACUCCUACGGGAGGCCGCAGUAGGGAAUCUUCCGCAAUGGGCGAAAGCCUGACGGAGCAACGCCGCGUGAGUGAUGAAGGUCUUCGGAUCGUAAAACUCUGUUAUUAGGGAAGAACCAAUGUGUAAGUAACUAUGCACGUCUUGACGGUACCUAAUCAGAAAGCCACGGCUAACUACGUG